rnacentral:rRNA from 2 species
CCCUUUGGGUGUGACUGCGUACCUUUUGUAUAAUGGGUCAGCGACUUAUAUUCUGUAGCAAGGUUAACCGAAUAGGGGAGCCGGAGGGAAACCGAGUCUUAACCGGGCGUUAAGUUGCAGGGUAUAGACCCGAAACCCGGUGAUCUAGCCAUGGGCAGGUUGAAGGUUGGGUAACACUAACUGGAGGACCGAACCGACUAAUGUUGAAAAAUUAGCGGAUGACCUGUGGCUGGGGGUGAAAGGCCAAUCAAACCGGGAGAUAGCUGGUUCUCCCCGAAAGCUAUUUAGGUAGCGCCUCGUGAAUUCAUCUCCGGGGGUAGAGCACUGUUUCGGCUAGGGGGCCAUCCCGGCUUACCAACCCGAUGCAAACUGCGAAUACCGGAGAAUGUUAUCACGGGAGACACACGGCGGGUGCUAACGUCCGUCGUGAAGAGGGAAACAACCCAGACCGCCAGCUAAGGUCCCAAAGUCAUGGUUAAGUGGGAAACGAUGUGGGAAGGCCCAGACAGCCAGGAUGUUGGCUUAGAAGCAGCCAUCAUUUAAAGAAAGCGUAAUAGCUCACUGGUCGAGUCGGCCUGCGCGGAAGAUGUAACGGGGCUAAACCAUGCACCGAAGCUGCGGCAGCGACACUGUGUG